rnacentral:rRNA from 1 species
UAGAGUUUGAUCAUGGCUCAGGAUGAACGCUGGCGGCGUGCUUAAUACAUGCAAGUCGAACGAAGCACCUCUCCCGUUGAUUGACCUAGCUUGCUAGAGAUUGAAACAAUUGAGGUGACUGAGUGGCGGGCGGGUGAGUAACGCGUGGGUAACCUGCCUUGUACAGGGGGAUAACAGUUGGAAACGACUGCUAAUACCGCAUAAGCGCACAGUAUCGCAUGAUACAGUGUGAAAAACUCCGGUGGUACAAGAUGGACCCGCGUCUGAUUAGCUAGUUGGAGGGGUAACGGCCCACCAAGGCAACGAUCAGUAGCCGACUUGAGAGAGUGAUCGGCCACAUUGGGACUGAGACACGGCCCAAACUCCUACGGGAGGCAGCAGUAGGGAAUAUUGCACAAUGGGGGAAACCCUGAUGCAGCGACGCCGCGUGAAGGAUGAAGUAUUUCGGUAUGUAAACUUCUAUCAGCAAGGAAGAAAAUGACGGUACUUGACUAAGAAGCCCCGGCUAAAUACGUGCCAGCAGCCGCGGUAAUACGUAUGGGGCAAGCGUUAUCCGGAUUUACUGGGUGUAAAGGGAGCGUAGGCGGUACGGCAAGUCAGAAGUGAAAGCCUGGGGCUCAACCCCGGAAUUGCUUUUGAAACUGUCGAACUAGAGUGUCGGAGGGGUAAGCGGAAUUCCUAGUGUAGCGGUGAAAUGCGUAGAUAUUAGGAGGAACACCGGUGGCGAAGGCGGCUUACUGGACGACCACUGACGCUGAGGCUCGAAAGCGUGGGGAUCGAACAGGAUUAGAUACCC